AGAGUUGAUCCUGGCUCAGGAUGAACGCUGGCGGUAUGCUUAACACAUGCAAGUCGAACGGAGUUCUUCGGAACUUAGUGGCGGACGGGUGAGUAACGCGUGAGAAUCUGCCUUCAGGUCGGGGACAACAGCUGGAAACGGCUGCUAAUACCGGAUGUGCCGAGAGGUAAAAGCUUUAGUGCCUGAAGAGGAGCUCGCGUCUGAUUAGCUAGUUGGUUGGGUAAUGGCCGACCAAGGCGACGAUCAGUAGCUGGUCUGAGAGGAUGAGCAGCCACACUGGGACUGAGACACGGCCCAGACUCCUACGGGAGGCAGCAGUGGGGAAUUUUCCGCAAUGGGCGAAAGCCUGACGGAGCAAUACCGCGUGUGGGAGGAAGGCUCUUGGGUUGUAAACCACUUUUCUCAGGGAAGAAUAGAUGACGGUACCUGAGGAAUAAGCAUCGGCUAACUCCGUGCCAGCAGCCGCGGUAAUACGGAGGAUGCAAGCGUUAUCCGGAAUCAUUGGGCGUAAAGCGUCCGCAGGUGGCCUAUCAAGUCUGCUGUCAAAGCGCAGAGCUUAACUCUGUAAAGGCGGUGGAAACUGAUAAGCUAGAGUACGGUAGGGGUAGCGGGAAUUCCCAGUGUAGCGGUGAAAUGCGUAGAUAUUGGGAAGAACAUCGGUGGCGAAGGCGCGCUACUGGGCCGAAACUGACACUGAG
rnacentral:rRNA from 1 species